rnacentral:lncRNA from 1 species
AAAAAACCCCUCAUGACAAAUCAAAACCACAAGAAGAACGCAGAGAUGAGACAACAGAGUUAAAUGUUCAGAACAGAUACAUUCUGUCAUGCAAUGAGAUUCAAAUUUAGAUGAUUUUACCCAAUGGCCAACUCUCCAGGGUCCUUCAUUGUAUUCAACCAAUCACUAUAUGCAUUUGUUGAGUUAGUUUCAAUAAUAAGAGAAGAGAUGCAUGGUCACCAAAAAAGGUUCAAAAAGUUCUGAAAAGAAGGAUACAACUUCAUCGGUUUGAUGCAGUUUUCUUUAACUGCAUUUUGUAAAACUAGGUUUUUUGGAUCUGUUGUUUGCUGGUUUUUUGUUUUUGGAUCUUGUUUUCCAGGUAGCAUGCAAUGGCUAGAUUGGGGGUUUCUUUGGUUUUGUUCUUUUUGGCUUUUUCAUGGAUUUAAUGAUAAAAUUUUUUCUUGUAAGAUCUCAGCUUCGCUGGUGUCAAUAACUAUUAAAACUCUUAACUCUGAAAAAAUUGUGCUGUACAGCGAGAAAGGCAUUCUUAUUUGUUUGAUGGAAAGCUAUUUUGACAAUGUUUUACGUUGUGGAAGAUGAAGAGUGCAGCCAUUCUUAUCCAGAUUAAGUUAACAUUUUUCACUUUUUUUUUUAAGUUUUUAGGUACUGAGAAAAUUAACAAACGGAACGGAAAAUAUUUUUUUCUUUAAAGGGAAAAUUAAAUUAUUUUAAGAGAAUGAAAUUUGCAC